rnacentral:ncRNA from 1 species
AUAAAGUUUUAUUUUGACUUAAAAAUUUAUUAUAAUUUUUUUAUACAUGUAAAUUAUUGUAUGGAUUUAUUUAAAUUUUAAAAAUUUUAAUAAAAUUUUAGUCGCAGUAUAUAAAAUUAUAGAUUAUAGAAAUAUAGAUUUAGAAAUAAUUAAAAUUAUUAGCAAAAAUUGUGCCAGCAGCUGCGGUUAUACAAUUAAUAAAAGUAAAUUAUAAAAGUUAUUAGUUAAAUAUAUAUAUAUAUAUAUUAAUAAAUAAAAUUAUUAUUUUAAGGUUAAAUUUAUUUAAUAAUUAAAUAUUAAAAUUUAAAUUGAAGCUAAAAAAAUUAAAAUAUAAACUAGGAUUAGAUACCCUAUUAUUUUAAUUAAUUAAUAAAUACUAAAGUAGUAAUAGAUAUAGGCUUGAAACUUAAAAAAUUUGGCGGUAUUUUAAUCUUAUUAGAGGAACCUGUUCUAUAAUCGAUAAUCCACGUUAAAUUUUACUAAAUUUUAAUAUUUGUAUACCGUUGUCGAAAGAAUAUUUUAAUUUAAAAAAAAUUAAUUUUCAAAAAUUUAAAAUAAAAUUUAUGUCAAAUCAAGGUGCAGUUAAUAAUUUAGAAGAAAUGGGUUACAAUAAAUUUAUUUAAAUGGAUUUUAUAUUGAAAGAUAUAAAUAAAAGUGGAUUUAAUAGUAAAUUAAUUUUAAUAUAAUUAAUUGAUUAAAGUUCUAAAAUAUGUACAUAUUGCCCGUCGCUCUUUUUAAUUUAUUAAAAAAAGAUAAGUCGUAACAUAGUAGAUGUACUGGAAAGUGUAUCUAGAAAGAC